rnacentral:rRNA from 1 species
GGAGGAAAGUAGGGGAUCGCAAGACCUCAUGCUCGUGGAGCGGCCGAUAUCUGAUUAGCUAGUUGGUAGGGUAAAAGCCUACCAAGGCAUCGAUCAGUAGCUGGUCUGAGAGGACGACCAGCCACACUGGAACUGAGACACGGUCCAGACUCCUACGGGAGGCAGCAGUGGGGAAUUUUGGACAAUGGGCGAAAGCCUGAUCCAGCAAUGCCGCGUGAGUGAAGAAGGCCUUCGGGUUGUAAAGCUCUUUUGUCAGGGAAGAAACGGUGAGAGCUAAUAUCUCUUGCUAAUGACGGUACCUGAAGAAUAAGCACCGGCUAACUACGUGCCAGCAGCCGCGGUAAUACGUAGGGUGCAAGCGUUAAUCGGAAUUACUGGGCGUAAAGCGUGCGCAGGCGGUUUUGUAAGUCUGAUGUGAAAUCCCCGGGCUCAACCUGGGAAUUGCGUUUGAAACUACAAGGCUAG